CGUCCCGAUCAUAAGGAAGAAAGCAAAAGCAGACCGAUGGGCUACCCCUACCUUUUGUAAAGAAUACUGGUUGAAAAUGAGGGAGACAAUAUACCAGUUGGAUCAGCAACAGUUGUCCAUGUGCUGCAGUAUUUAUUGGAUCCAACCAAAUCAGAAGAGAAAACCCUGAAGCAAAUUCAUAUGGUAAUACAGGGUUUUCUAAGAGAGGAGGAUCACAGGAGUGGAGCUGUUUCAUUUACCCAACACCUUGAGC